GGGGGGGUUCUCGGAUAUUGGGCGUAAGAGCUCGUAGGCGGUUUGUCGCGUCUGCCGUGAAAGUCCGGGGCUCAACUCCGGAUCUGCGGUGGGUACGGGCAGACUAGAGUGAUGUAGGGGAGACUGGAAUUCCUGGUGUAGCGGUGAAAUGCGCAGAUAUCAGGAGGAACACCGAUGGCGAAGGCAGGUCUCUGGGCAUUAACUGACGCUGAGGAGCGAAAGCAUGGGGAGCGAACAGGAUUAGAUACCCUGGUAGUCCAUGCCGUAAACGUUGGGCACUAGGUGUGGGGGACAUUCCACGUUUUCCGCGCCGUAGCUAACGCAUUAAGUGCCCCGCCUGGGGAGUACGGCCGCAAGGCUAAAACUCAAAGGAAUUGACGGGGGCCCGCACAAGCGGCGGAGCAUGCGGAUUAAUUCGAUGCAACGCGAAGAACCUUACCAAGGCUUGACAUGAACCGGUAAGACCUGGAAACAGGUCCCCCACUUGUGGCCGGUUUACAGGUGGUGCAUGGUUGUCGUCAGCUCGUGUCGUGAGAUGUUGGGUUAAGUCCCGCAACGAGCGCAACCCUCGUUCCAUGUUGCCAGCGCGUUAUGGCGGGGACUCAUGGGAGACUGCCGGGGUCAACUCGGAGGAAGGUGGGGACGACGUCAAAUCAUCAUGCCCCUUAUGUCUUGGGCUUCACGCAUGCUACAAUGGCCGGUACAAAGGGUUGCGAUACUGUGAGGUGGAGCUAAUCCCAAAAAGCCGGUCUCAGUUCGGAUUGGGGUCUGCAACUCGACCCCAUGAAGUCGGAGUCGCUAGUAAUCGCAGAUCAGCAACGCUGCGGUGAAUACGUUCCCGGGCCUUGUACACACCGCCCGUCAAGUCACGAAAGUUGGUAACACCCGAAGCCGGUGGCCUAACCCCUUGUGGGAGGGAGCUGUCGAAAGUGGGACUGGCGAUUGGGACUAAGUCGUAACAAGGUAACC
rnacentral:rRNA from 1 species